CUAUAUAAAAGGGCUUAAUUUUGAGGCUUCUUAGGAGUGCCAUCUAGACAAAAUAUUCCCAGCCAAUCAAACUGCCAUGUCACUACAGGCUGGGUCUCAAACCAAUUUAAAAUUCCGGCCCAAAUUUGCCCCAUUCCGGCCCAACCUUAAUUAUCCUACUAUCUCCUUUCCUUAACCCUAAUCUUCCACUCUACCAAAAGGCCAUCCCCUUUGUCGCCGAUUCUCUUCGUCCUCUCACGUUUUUUGCUUUAAAGACCCAUUGUUUAAAGAAGCAAGCGACAGGGAUGAAACUGUUUGCAUUCCCACAUCAUCUGCCCUUAGAUAAAUCUUCAUCUUCAUUCUUUCUCUCUUUCACGUUAUUCACCAAUUCCACAUAAACACAGCAACCAAUGGCUUCCAGAACUACGAAAUCCUCCGGCAAGUCAAAUGAACCAGGGUUCAUUGCUCCUUAGUGUAAACAGUUGUUGCAGGAAUCGAAGUUUUUUGUAUAUUUUGGAACAAGGAGAUAAAACGUUUCAAAGAGGAGAAAGAAGUAAAAAAAAAAGAAACUUCCAUGAAGUAUAUAGAGUCCGAUGGAGUUGUUGAUUCUCUCACCAAAGGCUUUCCAAUGUUGUUCUGGUUGCUUUGAAUGGGAAGAAGGACAAGCCUUCAUCUACAUUAGAGUAAGUUACUAGACAUGUACUUUGUUUCCAACUGCAAUUUAUUAGUUUCUAAGAGACUACCAUAAUCUUUAAUCCAGCUUCUCCCGUUUUAGUGAACCAGGUGCCAACUUUUAUGAACUAACUCCCAAUUAAAAAAUAGGUCUAAGAGUAAAUCAUGUCCUCUACAAAAUUGAUGGAAAUUUGGGUUUAGUCUUUCAUCAAGUAGCUCUAACAGGGAUCAAACAAAUUUCGGCCUCUCUUCUGCACAAGUAAGAAAGCAAAACCAUUUCAUGAUUCUUCUUCACUCAAAAUAUAGCUUAACCUUUACAUUUUUGCUUGCAUUUGUCUCUUUUUUACUACUUCAUUAGUCGAUGUUUAUAUCAUGACUUUCUGAGGGAUGUUUGAUGCAAUGUUUAGUGGGAAAGGUAGCAAAUCCCAUCGUUCGAAAAUGGUAACUUCUAAACUUACCAUCCCUAUUCUCAGUAGUUUUAUUGUAUGUGGUGUGCUAGCCUAAAAACUUCAUGCUAAUACUGAUUUUUUCUUAGUUCUUCGAAAACAAUAACAGACAAUGUAGUUUUCUCACGUUUUAUAUAUUGCUGGUUGGCUUGCAAUAGCAUUUACACAGACCAUGAUUGGAUAGAUGCUGGAAGAUGUUCCAACAGGCUUUGCAGUUGGUUUGUUCUGCUACGUGUUUUAUGUAGGGAAAAUGGGGACGUGGAAAGGAAUCUAGGGCUUCGUUGCAGACUCUCCUUGGAGAUGAUGCUGAAGUCUUUAAGCAACCAACAUUAUCAGAAGUAUUAUUCACUAUUCAUCUGUGAACAUGCAUGAAGCUUUGUUUUUUUGAGCAACCACAUGAAGCUCUUUUUUACUUUUCACAAGCCAUUUUAGAUGCACCCUCGAAAUAACAAUAAACUGCUUGCUUAUGAUUUUUACUCACGUUUCUGCAAUCUAAUUUUUUCAAAUCACCAA